GAGCAAGAAUUUGUCUUUUGUCAGCACUUGUUGCGAGGAGCUUCUUUGCAGAUCAUUCUCUGGAUAGAGUCACAAGUGAUGGAUGUGUUGAAGAUGGUGGCUGAAUUUUCAAUUCCAAUGUUGCUAGUGUGCAGGUGUUAGCUUGGAAGUUCUUUCACCAACGUCGAGAAUGUUUGGUUUUUCAAGGAGAUUUGUCAUACUUUUGACAAUUGGCAUGUUUGCCUGUCCCACCUGUUCUUUAGGAUAGAUAUAUAGAUUUGCAUAUUCAUGUAAAUUCGUGGUGACAUGACAUGAGUCAACACUUUUUGAGUGUUCAUCUUGUAUGCAUGUAUUUUGCUUUGCAUGUGUUAAUCAAAAGAUCAUAAGCAUACAGGUGUAAGACAGAUAUGCAUAGGAUGACAUUAACAUGAGGGCAUUAUCCACAGAUAAUCAAUUGUUUGAUGCAUGAUGAGUGCAUAUGAUAUGUAGAAUGGAAGCAUAGUAUAUAACUAAUUGUUUCAGUUAAAUAUUUCAUAGAGGAUUUUAUAAACCAAG
rnacentral:lncRNA from 1 species